rnacentral:misc_RNA from 1 species
CUGAAGUUUUGGCCCGCAAGGGCCAUCCUUCCACCCUUUGUUUACCAUACCAUUGUUGCUUUGGCGGGCCGCCUAGGCUACCGGCUUCGGCUGGUGAGUGCCCGCCAGAGACCCCAAAACCCUGAAUAUUAGUGUUGUCUGAGAAAAAACAAAAUAUUUA